rnacentral:rRNA from 1 species
UACGAAGGGGGGCUAGCGUUGCUCGGAUUGACUGGGCGUAAAGGGCGCGUAGGCGGCGGACACAGUCAGACGUGAAAUUCCUGGGCUCAACCUGGGGGCUGCGUUUGAUACAUGUCUGCUUGAGUUCGGAAGAGGGUCGUGGAAUUCCCAGUGUAGAGGUGAAAUUCGUAGAUAUUGGGAAGAACACCGGUGGCGAAGGCGGCGACCUGGUCCGAUACUGACGCUGAGGCGCGAAAGCGUGGGGAGCAAACAGG